rnacentral:piRNA from 1 species
UCUAGCAUAUGGAUGACCUAGCUUGAGCCC